AACGCACAUUGCGCCCAUUAGUAUUCUAGUGGGCAUGCCUGUUCGAGCGUCAUUUCAACCCCUAAGCACAGCUUAUUGUUGGGAACCUACGGCUUCGUAGUUCCUCAAAGACAUUGGCGGAGUGGCAGUGGUCCUCUGAGCGUAGUAAUCUUUUAUCUCGCUUCUGUUAGGUGCUGCCCCCCCGGCCGUAAAACCCCCAAUUUUUUCUGGUUGACCUCGGAUCAGGUAGGAAUACCCGCUGAACUUAA
rnacentral:misc_RNA from 1 species